rnacentral:rRNA from 1 species
GACGAACGCUGGCGGCGUGCCUAAUACAUGCAAGUAGAACGCUGAAGGAGGAGCUUGCUUCUCCGGAUGAGUUGCGAACGGGUGAGUAACGCGUAGGUAACCUGCCUGGUAGCGGGGGAUAACUAUUGGAAACGAUAGCUAAUACCGCAUAACAGUAGAUGUUGCAUGACAUUUGCUUAAAAGGUGCAAUUGCAUCACUACCAGAUGGACCUGCGUUGUAUUAGCUAGUUGGUGAGGUAACGGCUCACCAAGGCGACGAUACAUAGCCGACCUGAGAGGGUGGUCGGCCACACUGGGACUGAGACACGGCCCAGACUCCUACGGGAGGCAGCAGUAGGGAAUCUUCGGCAAUGGACGGAAGUCUGACCGAGCAACGCCGCGUGAGUGAAGAAGGUUUUCGGAUCGUAAAGCUCUGUUGUAAGAGAAGAACGAGUGUGAGAGUGGAAAGUUCACACUGUGACGGUAGCUUACCAGAAAGGGACGGCUAACUACGUG